AAGUCGUAACAAGGUUUCCGUAGGUGAACCUGCGGAAGGAUCAUUGUCGAGUUCCUUUUCGAACAAUUGUGAAAUUGUGCUCAUACCCGACGAGUACUACGUGUUUCUGCUAUUAGUGCAUGCGUUGUCUUGGCGGGUUCCCUUUUGCUGCCUUCUUGUUGCUUUAUUUGAAGUGAAACGAAGAGCAGAAAUAAGACACCGGCACAGUUUGUGCCAAGGACAGUUAUUGUUGGAGUGCAUUGCCAUCGUUUCUAUGUGCUUUGUGAUAUUCUAGCGAGCAUCUGAAUGACUCCUGGCAAUGGAUAUCUUGGCUCUC
rnacentral:misc_RNA from 1 species